CUACGGGGUGCAGCAGUAGGGAAUAUUGCCCAAUGGACGAAAGUCUGAGGCAGCAACGCCGCGUGCGCGAUGAAGGCCUUCGGGUUGUAAAGCGCUUUUACGAGGGAAGAGAAAGGACGGUACCUCGUGAAUAAGGAUCGGCUAACUACGUGCCAGCAGCCGCGGUAACACGUAGGAUUCGAACGUUAUCCGGAUUUACUGGGCGUAAAGCGCGUGCAGGCGGUUUGGUAAGUUGGAUGUGAAAGCUCCAGGCUCAACCUGGAGAGGUCGUUCAAUACUGCCAGACUAGAGGACGGUAAAGGGAGGUGGAAUUCCGGGUGUAGUGGUGAAAUGCGUAGAUAUCCGGAGGAACACCAGUGGCGAAGGCGGCCUCCUGGGCCGUUCCUGACGCUCAGACGCGAAAGCUAGGGUAGCGAACGGGAUUAGAUACCCUGGUAGUC
rnacentral:rRNA from 1 species